GGGAAGAGUUGGUACAGGCGGUAGCUCUGACAACGGAAUCCCAAAAGCAGCUGUUGUGAAAAUGUUCAGCUGCAGUUGGGACCCGUUCACGGAUCUAUUGCCCAUUCAUCGCCCUCAGGG
rnacentral:precursor_RNA from 14 species